UACGGGGGGGGCAAGCGUUGUUCGGAAUUACUGGGCGUAAAGAGCUCGUAGGCGGCCUGUCGCGUCGGAUGUGAAAGCCCGGGGCUUAACCCCGGGUCUGCAUUCGAUACGGGCAGGCUAGAGUGUGGUAGGGGAGAUCGGAAUUCCUGGUGUAGCGGUGAAAUGCGCAGAUAUCAGGAGGAACACCGGUGGCGAAGGCGGAUCUCUGGGCCAUUACUGACGCUGAGGAGCGAAAGCGUGGGGAGCAAACAGG
rnacentral:rRNA from 1 species